rnacentral:rRNA from 1 species
UACGAAGGUGACAAGCGUUGUUCGGAAUCAUUGGGCGUAAAGCGCACGUAGGCGGGUUUGAAAGUCGAUUGUGAAAACCCUGGGCUCAACCCGGGGCCUGCAGUCGAAACUUCAAGUCUUGAAUGCUCGAGAGGAUAGUGGAAUUCCAGGAGUAGAAGUGAAAUUCGUAGAUAUCGAGAGGAACACCGGUGGCGAAGGCGGCCAACUGGACAGAUACUGACGCUGAGACUCGAAAGCGUGGGGAGCAAACAGG